CGAGGGGCAGCGGUGGUGAAGGCUUGCCUUUACCAGCCGGCGACCGGCGCACGGGUGAGUAACACGUAUGCAACCUGCCUGCCACAGCCGGAUAAUCGGGAGAAAUUCCGUCUAAUACGGCAUAAUGCACCUAUGGGACAUCCUGUUGGUGCCAAAGGUUGAUUCCGGUGGCGGAUGGGCAUGCGUCGCAUUAGUUAGUUGGCGGUGUAACGGACCACCAAGACGACGAUGCGUAGGGGUUCUGAGAGGAAGGUCCCCCACACUGGUACUGAGACACGGACCAGACUCCUACGGGAGGCAGCAGUGAGGAAUAUUGGUCAAUGGGCGGGAGCCUGAACCAGCCAAGUCGCGUGAGGGAUGACGGCCCUAUGGGUUGUAAACCUCUUUUGCCGGGGAGCAAAGUGCCGCACGUGUGCGGUUUGGAGAGUACCCGGAGAAAAAGCAUCGGCUAACUCCGUGCCAGCAGCCGCGGUAAUACGGAGGAUGCGAGCGUUAUCCGGAUUUAUUGGGUUUAAAGGGUGCGUAGGCGGACGCUUAAGUCAGCGGUAAAAUUGCGGGGCUCAACCUCGUGGAGCCGUUGAAACUGGGUGCCUUGAGUGGGCGAGAAGUACGCGGAAUGCGUGGUGUAGCGGUGAAAUGCAUAGAUAUCUUGAAGAACUCCGAAGACGAAGGCAGCGUACCGGCGCCCAACUGACGCUGAAGCACGA
rnacentral:rRNA from 1 species